UGAUUUUCGAGUCUUAAAAGCUUACAUCAAUGGAGAUGGCUCUCAUCUUCCCCCUAACGUGUUUUCAAUUCUUACCUGAAUCGACCAGAUCUGAGAUGGAUAGAUUGUUUAAAAAAUCUAUACAUCUACACAUACGAGAGAGAGGGAGAGACAAGAUCCAGGGGAGAUGAUGACACGAUUCAAUGGCGGUUGAAGAAGAUCCAACGGUGGCGAUGGUGGUUUCAAGGUGAUCCUGCUACUACAAUGAAGAUGAUGUCGAAAUUAGUGGCUGAAGAUUCCGAGCUGAUGCCUUCAAAAAGGUUCAAGGAAGCUGAUGGGUGGCAUGAAAUAUAACAGUAUUGAUUUCAGUAAAGAGGAAGCUGGGAAACUAAUUUGACGUAAUUUGUUAAAAGAUGUAGCUUUUGGUGUUUUUUGUGCAGAAUAUUAAGGUAUGAUACAGAUACACUACAUCUUAUACAUAUUGCUCUGCUAUUUUGUAAAUUCUCAGUGUCUCCAUUUAGUUUAUGAGAUUGUUAGUUGAGUUUAUAUGUAUAUAUGUAAUAUUGGGUUUUAAACUCUUCAUUUUCUUGAGUUAGCUACAUAUGUAAAGGCGUCGUAUAGUUUAGGGCGGCAACUGGCAACGGCAUACCAGGAAGACAAACAGACGCAGACGCUGCAUCAUCUUCUUCAAUGGGAUUCUCCUCAUCUUCUUUAUAUGGAGAUUCGAGAUUGCAACAGGUUAGAGAAACUCAGAAACAGUCGAACAAAGUAAUUGUUUUAUUGUGAUAUCCCACUAGGUUUAUAUGUAAUCCGUGGUGAAAGAGAAUAUUGUUUCAAUUGGUCUGGUGUAUUAGUCAAGUUUUUUUAAACUUACUGAUGUAUUAGCAGUUCUGUAAUGACAGAAAACAUGAGUAAAGGAUUGAUCCUCAUAUGCAAUGGAUUUCUUAUGUGACCCAAUGUCGCGACCAAAAUCCACCAGUUCAAGCCACCAACUCCAAAUCUAAAGCCUAAAGAGCGUCUAUAUUUAGCGUCUCAGAGAUCUGGACAUCAAAUGAGCACAUCUGAUCAUUAAUUUCAGACAAAAAUCGUGUUUUUCGGUCGAUUGUCUCCAAACUUUGAGCCAGCUUCUACAACGUAUUAUCCAAGGAAGUUUUGACAUGUGCGACUUUGCAGUGGGGUUAAGCCGACAACUAAAUGGGUCAGUCAUACCCUCUGAACGUGUUGAGCUCUAAUGGAAAUAUAUGUAUAUGCUCCAUUGCCAUUGGUCUGGUAAUCGAAAUAGUGGUGAUAUACCCUAUUCAGAAACAAUCUUACAGAAAUGGAAUUGACAAUCUAUUCUUCUCAUCGGAGUGAUCCCAAUAGCCAUGCCAAGGAUACUAUAGAGACAUACCAAGUCUGCGAACCACAGUUUAAUUGUUUAGAAGAAUUAAACCCAAAACGGAUUUUUACAAGCCUGUCUGUUGGAGUACUCGAUGAUGGGUAUUGAUGAUGAAAAUUCAGAUUUUAUUGUGAUUUCAGCCGGGACACAUGCGGCGGGAUCAAAAAACAGCUGAAUACAUUUUCAAACCUGUUGAUCUUUCAUUUUAAUGUUGUGUGUGGUGAUUUCAAACAUCACUUAUGCAAUUUGUUUAAAUGCUUCUUUAGAUACUGUUUGAGUUUGUUAGUGAAAACCUGUUC
rnacentral:lncRNA from 1 species